rnacentral:rRNA from 1 species
ACGCCUUAUACAUGCAAGUCGAACGCAGUAGCAAUACUGAGUGGCAGACGGGUGAGUAUGAUGUGGGAAUCUGCCUUUUGGUUUGGAAUAACUCGGGGAAACUUGAGCUAAUACCGGAUAAGCCCUUACGGGGAAAGCUUUAUGCGCCGAAAGAUGAGCCCGCACUUGAUUAGCUAGUUGGUGAGGUAAAAGCUCACCAAGGCAACGAUCAAUAGCUGUUCUUAGAGGAAGACCAGCCACAUUGGGACUGAGACACGGCCCAGACUCCUACGGGAGGCAGCAGUAAGGAAUCUUGCACAAUGGGGGAAACCCUGAUGCAGCGAUGCCGCGUGAGUGAAGAAGGCCCUUGGGUUGUAAAACUCUUUCGUCGGGGAAGAAAAUGACUGUACCCGAAUAAGAAGGUCCGGCUAACUUCGUGCCAGCAGCCGCGGUAAUACGAAGGGACCUAGCGUAGUUCGGAAUUACUGGGCUUAAAGAGCUCGUAGGUGGUUAAAAAAGUUGAUGGUGAAAUCCCAAGGCUCAACCUUGGAACUGCCAUCAAAACUUUUUAGCUAGAGUAUGAUAGAGGAAAGUGGAAUUUCUAGUGUAGAGGUGAAAUUCGUAGAUAUUAGAAAGAACACCAAAAGCGAAGGCAACUUUCUGGAUCAUUACUGACACUGAGGAGCGAAAGCAUGGGUAGCGAAGAGGAUUAGAUACCCUCGUAGUCCAUGCUGUAAACGAUGUGUGCUAGACGUUGGAAAUUUAUUUUCAGUGUCGCAGCGAAAGCGUUAAGCACACCGCCUGGGGAGUACGACCGC